rnacentral:lncRNA from 1 species
CCCGCCCCCCCACCCACCUGGGGCUAACAGAUGGGCAGGGAGGGCAGAGGUCAUGUUAUCUCAAAUAUUCACAUGUGGGCUAACUGCUAUGAAGGACAAAGGUAGAGAAGGAGCAUACCCAGGCAGGAGGGGCCUUACCUCGAUCUAAAGUAUAAUGGGAGGCCUUCUUGGAAGAAGUAGCAUUAUAGCUGGGAUCUAAAGAUUGGGUAUUUCUCAGCCUCGGCACUAUUGA